rnacentral:rRNA from 1 species
GAUGAACGCUGGCGGCGUGCCUAAUACAUGCAAGUCGAGCGAACAGACGAGGAGCUUGCUCCUCUGACGUUAGCGGCGGACGGGUGAGUAACACGUGGAUAACCUACCUAUAAGACUGGAUAACUUCGGGAAACCGGAGCUAAUACCGGAUAAUAUAUUGAACCGCAUGGUUCAAUAGUGAAAGACGGUUUUGCUGUCACUUAUAGAUGGAUCCGCGCCGCAUUAGCUAGUUGGUAAGGUAACGGCUUACCAAGGCAACGAUGCGUAGCCGACCUGAGAGGGUGAUCGGCCACACGGGAACUGAGACACGGUCCAGACUCCUACGGGAGGCAGCAGUAGGGAAUCUUCCGCAAUGGGCGAAAGCCUGACGGAGCAACGCCGCGUGAGUGAUGAAGGUCUUCGGAUCGUAAAACUCUGUUAUUAGGGAAGAACAAAUGUGUAAGUAACUAUGCACGUCUUGACGGUACCUAAUCAGAAAGCCACGGCUAACUACGUG